UACGGGGGGGCAAGCGUUGUUCGGAAUUACUGGGCGUAAAGGGCUCGUAGGCGGCCAACUAAGUCAGACGUGAAAUCCCUCGGCUUAACCGGGGAACUGCGUCUGAUACUGGAUGGCUUGAGUUCGGGAGAGGGAUGUGGAAUUCCAGGUGUAGCGGUGAAAUGCGUAGAUAUCUGGAGGAACACCGAUGGCGAAGGCGGGUCUCUGGGCAUUACCUGACGCUGAGGAGCGAAAGUGUGGGGAGCGAACAGG
rnacentral:rRNA from 1 species